UACGAAGGGUGCAAACGUUGCUCGGAAUUAUUGGGCGUAAAGCGCACGUAGGCGGCUUUGCAAGUCGGAUGUGAAAUCCCUCGGCUUAACCAAGGAAGUGCAUCCGAAACUGCAGAGCUUGAGUACUUAAGAGGAUCGCGGAAUUCCCGGUGUAGAGGUGAAAUUCGUAGAUAUCGGGAGGAACACCAGUGGCGAAGGCGGCUCACUGGACCGGUAUUGACGCUGAGGUGCGAAAGCGUGGGGAGCAAACAGG
rnacentral:rRNA from 1 species